GGGGGUGACCCGGUUUCGACAGGGGAACUGCAGGUGAUGCUGCGUGUCGAGGUGCCGUGGGCCUCGUAAAAAAACGGCAAAGCCUUUAAUUGGCAACCAGAACUACGCUCUCGCUGCUUAAGUGAGACAGUGACCACGAAGCCCGGCCUUUGGCGUCGUGCGAACUGAACAAAAGAAGGCUAGCCGAAGCGAGACCUCAUAGCAGAAGGCGAAACUUAAUGAGGAUAAGGUUGCAGGAAACCCGCCCGCUGGUGGCCGGCAACCCGACAAUUAAACAGCGGGAUACACACGUAGACGCACGCUGAACGAACUCUUGGACGGCGGUUCGACUCCGCCCACCUCCACCA
rnacentral:tmRNA from 1 species